AGGACGAACGCUGGCGGCGUGCUUAACACAUGCAAGUCGAACGAGGUCCAGCUAAUCUUCGGAGAGGCGAAGACCUAGUGGCGAACGGGUGCGUAACACGUGAGAAACCUGCCCCAGACUUGGGAAUAACAGUCGGAAACGACUGCUAAUACCGAAUACCUUCGUAGCGUCACAUGGUGCAUCGAAGAAAGCUUUAUGACGGUUUGGGAGGGUCUCGCGGCCUAUCAGCUAGUGGUGAGGUAACGGCUCACAAGGCAUCGACGGGUAGCUGGUCUGACGAGGAUGAUCGAGCCACGACGUGGGACUGGACGACCACGGCCAGACCUCCGUACGGGA
rnacentral:rRNA from 1 species